rnacentral:rRNA from 1 species
CCUACGGGAGGCAGCAGUAGGGAAUCUUCCGCAAUGGACGAAAGUCUGACGGAGCAACGCCGCGUGAGUGAUGAAGGUUUUCGGAUUGUAAAACUCUGUUGUUAGGGAAGAACAAGUACCGUUCGAAUAGGGCGGUACCUUGACGGUACCUAACCAGAAAGCCACGGCUAACUACGUGCCAGCAGCCGCGGUAAUACGUAGGUGGCAAGCGUUGUCCGGAAUUAUUGGGCGUAAAGCGCGCGCAGGCGGUUUCUUAAGUCUGAUGUGAAAGCCCCCGGCUCAACCGGGGAGGGUCAUUGGAAACUGGGGAACUUGAGUGCAGAAGAGGAGAGUGGAAUUCCACGUGUAGCGGUGAAAUGCGUAGAGAUGUGGAGGAACACCAGUGGCGAAGGCGACUCUCUGGUCUGUAACUGACGCUGAGCGCGAAAGC